ensembl:lncRNA
AUGAUGGCGGUAGUGGUAGUAGUGGUAGUGGUAGUAGUGGUAAUGAUGAUGAUGGUGGUGGUAGUAGUGGCAAUGAUGGUGGUGGUGGUGGUAGUAGGGGUAAUGAUGAUGGUGGUGGUAGUAGUGGUAAUGAUGAUAAUGGUCGUGGUAGUAGUGGUAAUGAUGGCGGUGGUGGUGGUAGUAGUAGUGGUAAUGAUGGUGGUGGUGGUGGUAGUAGUGGCAAUGAUGGUGGUGGUAGUAGUAGUGGUAAUGAUGGUGGUGGUGGCAGUGGUAAUGAUGAUGAUGGUGGUAGUAGUGGUAAUGAUGAUAAUGGUGGUAGUAGUGGUAAUGAUGGUGGUGGUGGUACUAGUGGUAAUGAUGAUGAUGGUGGUAGUAGUGGUAAUGAUGAUGGUGGUAGUAGUAGUGGUAAUGGCGAUGGCGGUGGUAGUGGUAAUGAUGACAGUGGUAGUAGUGGUAAUGAUGAUGGUGGUGGUAGUAGUGGUAAUGAUGGUGGUGGUGGUAUUAGUGGUAAUAAUGAUGCUGGUGGUAGUAGUGCUAAUGAUGGUGGUGGUAGUAGUAGUGGUAAUGAUGAUGACGGUGGUAGUAGUGGUAAUGAUGGUGGUGGUGGUAGUGGUAAUGAUGACGGUGGUAGUAGUAGUGGUAAUGUUGGUGAUGGUGGUAGUAGUGGUAAUGAUGACGGUGGUAGUAGUGCUAAUGAUGAUGGUGGUAGUGGUAGUAGUGGUAGUGGUAGUAGUGGUAAUGAUGAUGAUGGUGGUGGUAGUAGUGGCAAUGAUGGUGGUGGUGGUGGUAGUAGGGGUAAUGAUGAUGGUGGUGGUAGUAGUGGUAAUGAUGAUAAUGGUCGUGGUAGUAGUGGUAAUGAUGGUGGUGGUGGUGGUAGUAGUAGUGGUAAUGAUGGUGGUGGUGGUGGUAGUAGUGGUAAUGAUGAUGGUGGUAGUAGUAGUGGUAAUGAUGGUGGUGGUGGCAGUGGUAAUGAUGAUGAUGGUGGUAGUAGUGGUAAUGAUGAUGGUGGUGGUAGUAGUGGUAAUGAUGGUGGUGGUGGUAUUAGUGGUAAUAAUGAUGAUGGUGGUAGUAGUGGUAAUGAUGGUGGUGGUAGUAGUAGUGGUAAUGAUGAUGACGGUGGUAGUAGUGGUAAUGAUGGUGGUGGUGGUAGUGGUAAUGAUGACGGUGGUAGUAGUAGUGGUAAUGAUGAUGAUGGUGGUAGUAGUGGUAAUGAUGCUGUUGGUAGUAGUGGUAAUGAUGCUGUUGGUAGUAGUGGUAAUGAUGGUGGUGGUAGUAGUGGUAAUGAUGGCGGUGGUAGUAGUAGUGGUAAUGAUGGUGGUGGUGGUGGUAGUAGUGGGAAUGAUGAAGGGGGUGGUGCUGGUAGUAGUGGUAAUGAUGAUGAUGAUGGUGGUGGUAGUAGUGGUAAUGAUGGUGGUGGUGUUGGUAGUAGUGGCAAUGAUGAUGAUGGUGGUAGUAGUAGUGGUAAUGAUGAUGGUGGUGGUAGUAGUGGUAAUGAUGUUAAUGGUGGUGGUAGUAGUGGUAAUGAUGGUGGCGGUGGUGGUAGUAGUAGUGGUAAUGACGGUGGUGGUGAUGGUGGUGGUGGUGGUGGUAAUGAUGAUGAUGAUGGUGGUAGUAGUAGUGGUAAUAAUGGUGGUGGUGGUAGUAGUGGUAAUGAUGGUGGUGGUGGUGGUGGUAGUACUGGUAAUGAUGAUGGUGGUAGUAGUGGUAAUGAUGACGGUGGUAGUAGUGCUAAUGAUGAUGGUGGUAGUGGUAGUAGUGGUAGUGGUAGUAGUGGUAAUGAUGAUGAUGGUGGUGGUAGUAGUGGUAAUGAUGGUGGUGGUGGUAGUACUGGUAAUGAUGAUGGUGGUAGUAGUGGUAAUGAUGACGGUGGUAGUAGUGCUAAUGAUGAUGGCGGUAGUGGUAGUAGUGGUGGUAGUAGUAGUGGUAAUGAUGGUGGUGGUGGUGGUAGUAGUGGUAAUGAUGAUGGUGGUAGUAGUAGUGGUAAUGUUGGUGGUGGUGGCAGUGGUAAUGAUGAUGAUGGUGGUAGUAGUGGUAAUGAUGGUGGUGGUGGUACUAGUGGUAAUGAUGAUGGUGGUGGUAGUAGUGGUAAUGAUGAUGGUGGUGGUAGUAGUGGUAAUGAUGGUGGUGGUAGUAGUAGUGGUAAUGAUGAUGACGGUGGUAGUAGUGGUAAUGAUGGUGGUGGUGGUAGUGGUAAUGAUGACGGUGGUAGUAGUAGUGGUAAUGAUGAUGAUGGUGGUAGUAGUGGUAAUGAUGCUGUUGGUAGUAGUGGUAAUGAUGCUGUUGGUAGUAGUGGUAAUGAUGGUGGUGGUAGUAGUGGUAAUGAUGGCGGUGGUAGUAGUAGUGGUAAUGAUGGUGGUGGUGGUGGUAGUAGUGGGAAUGAUGAAGGGGGUGGUGGUGGUAGUAGUGGUAAUGAUGAUGAUGAUGGUGGUGGUAGUAGUGGUAAUGAUGGUGGUGGUGGUGGUAGUAGUGGCAAUGAUGAUGAUGGUGGUAGUAGUAGUGGUAAUGAUGAUGGUGGUGGUAGUAGUGGUAAUGAUGUUAAUGGUGGUGGUAGUAGUGGUAAUGAUGGUGGCGGUGGUGGUAGUAGUAGUGGUAAUGACGGUGGUGGUGAUGGUGGUGGUGGUAAUGAUGAUGAUGAUGGUGGUAGUAGUAGUGGUAAUAAUGGUGGUGGUGGUAGUAGUGGUAAUGAUGAUAAUGUUGGUGGUAGUAGUGGUAAUGAUGGUGGUGGUGGUGGUAGUAGUAGUGGUACUGAUGGCGGUGGUGGUGGUAGUAGUAGUGGUAAUGAUGGUGAUGGUGGUGGUAGUAGUGGAAAUGAUGAUGGUGGUGGUAGUAGUAGUGGUAAUGAUGAUGAUGGUGGUAGUAGUAGUGGUAAUGAUGAUGAUGGUAGUAGAAGUGGUAAUGAUGAUGAUGGUGGUAGUAGUGGUAAUGAUGAGGGUGGUAGUAGUGGUAAUGAUGAUGGUGGUAGUAGUGG